rnacentral:rRNA from 1 species
UUGGAGGGCAAGUCUGGUGCCAGCAGCCGCGGUAAUUCCAGCUCCAAUAGCGUAUAUUAAAGUUGCUGCAGUUAAAAAGCUCGUAGUUGAAUUUCGGGACCAUCAUGUCGGUCGUGCCUCGGUACGUACUGGCAUUGUUGGUUUCUCCCUUCUGACGAACCAUGAUGUCAUUUAUUUGGUGUUGUGGGGAAUCAGGACUGUUACUUUGAAAAAAUUAGAGUGUUUAAAGCAGGCUCACGCUUGAAUACAUUAGCAUGGAAUAAUGAAAUAGGACGUUUGAUUCUAUUUUGUUGGUUUCUAGGAUCGACGUAAUGAUUAAUAGGGAUAGUUGGGGGCAUUAGUAUUCAAUUGUCAGAGGUGAAAUUCUUGGAUUUAUUGAAGACUAACUACUGCGAAAGCAUUUGCCAAGGAUGUUUUCAUUAAUCAAGAACGAAAGUUAGGGGAUCGAAGACGAUCAGAUACCGUCGUAGUCUUAACCAUAAACUAUGCCGACUAGGGAUCGGAUGAUGUUAAUUUCUUAAUGACUCAUUCGGCGCCUUACGGGAAAC